CCGGCCCUGCCUGCUGCUCUACCACCUGCACGCCGCGCUAGCCGAGCGCGCCCGGCGCUCGCCCGAGCUGUAUGAGGAACUGAAAGCUGAAAUCGAGAGUACUAUAGAGCAAGCCUUCCAUAUACUCCAAGGCGACAUAUCUGCCCCACCAGACCUCGAACUGAGACACCGAUACCUCGGCCCAGGCUGUGACAAACCUCACGAAGAGAGAUUCUUCAUCCUCGCUGACGUUUGAUACAUGUUUACCCGCAAUUUUAUAUGAUUUUUUUUAUUAUUUUAAUAAAAUAUGUAUUUACUACUACUUACGUAAGCAACGGACUCUAUAUUUAUUAGAUUCAGAAAUAAUCAUAUUAUUUUAUUGAAA